CAGAUUCGCAGUAGUUUUGAGGCACAGCUGAACUCCCCUGCUGAACUGAGGCAGGGUAAAGCGUGAACAAUGUGGGCAGGGCAUAUUUCUCCGCGCUGACCAAUCAGAACGCUCUCUUUCUCGAAGCAAAGACCUGACCACUUGAAUGUGUGAGAAAAAACUGACCAGUCCUAAAGAAUAAUCUCUAGCACGAUGGACGUGGGAACAUUACUUAGCCGCUCGAUACUGCUGGCUUUACUCGUAUUCACGGUGACCCAGGAAGCGCGAGAAUACUACCUAGGGGUGUUCAGAUAUGGCGCAGGUCAUAGGAAGGUGCGCUGGCAUGAGUGUUUAGUGAUUUUUGUGCCGUGACAUCGGUCACAUCCACAACAGUUAGCGAGCGUUUUUCUGAGGGGAGAUGGGGUGGCUCGCGCAUGCAAUCGGAGCACCGCGCGAGGUUUGGAUAUCGCGACACAGUAUUUAUUUACCAUACUUCAAAGCUCCUGUUAAUUUAUAACAACGUCUAGAUCAAAUGUUCAGUCAUCUGAAACUGUUGACGAGAUUUGCUUUCAUUAGCAAGCAGCAGUUUACCUUCAGUCAGUUUCUAUUUCACGUCUGUUCCGCACGUGUUUUGUGGUGAUAGACGUUUUUCAUAAUAUGACAUUUAAAAACUCCCCGUCGACUCAUUUAUCAAUUCUAAUAGUUUUAGGGUACAGCCCAGACAGGUUCUUAUUAAUUUCCGAUACGCACGAGUGACAUCAAAGUCUGCAUUUCAGUGCAUCUGCCAUCAAGUUAUGUGGACUGAUAGGAAACCUGUUUUACAUGUUUACUUGUGUUGUAAUAACAGGUCGGACUAUUUCUGUACGUUACAAAUAUCACAGGCUAUUCUUAACAGACGAUACAGGACACCAGCUCUGGGAUAGCUGAUAUCUUCUUAUCCAUUAUUUUUGGUUAAGUAAAUUUAAUGUGAUUGAACUUCUGUGGAUGCAACAGUUUGUUUGAACAGAGGCGUUUCACAACAGUACACACACACACACACACACACACACACACUAAAUUGUUACAUCUGUCGUGGAUACAAAUGUGACCCUGGACCACAAAACCAGUCUUAAGUCGCUGGGGUAUAUUUGUAGCAGUAACCAAAAAUACACUGUAUGGGUCAAAAUUAUAGAUUUUUCUUUUAUGCCAAAAAUCAUUAGGAUAUUAAGUAAAGAUCAAAGUUCCAUGAAGAUAUUUUGUAAAUUUACUACUGUAAAUAUAUCAAAACGUCGUUUUUGAUUAGUAAUAUGCAUGGCUAAGAAUUCAUUUGGACAACUUUAAAGGCGAUUUUCUCAAUAUUUAGAUUUUUUUGCACCCUCAGAUUCCAGAUUUUCAAAUAGUUGUAUCUCGGCCAAAUAUUGUCAUAUCCUAACAACCCCAUACAUCAAGCUUUCAGAUGAUGUAUAAAUCUCAAUUUCAAAAAAUUGACACUUAAGACUGGUUUUGUGGUCCAGGGUCACAAAUGACUAGGGGUGUGCAGUAGUGAUGGGUCAUUAUUGAACAAAUAAUUCGUUUAUUUUGAACGAAUCUUUAAUGUCUUUCGGAUGAGACAUUAAACCGAGGUCCUGACUCUCUAUGGUCAUUAAAAAUACCAUGGCACUUCUCGUAAAAAGAGUAGAGGUGUAACCCCAGUGUCCUGGCCAGAUUCCCUCCACUGGCCCUUAUCAAUCAUGGCCUCCUAAUAAUCCCCAUCUACUUGAUUGGCUCUAUGACUCUCUCUCCUCUCCACCAUGUAGCUGGUGUGUGGUGAGCCCACUGGCGCCGUUGUCCUGUGGCUGCCGUCGCAUCAUCCAAGUGGAUGCUGCACACUGGUGGUGGUUGAGGAGAGACCCCUCCACAUGAUUGUAAAGCGCUUUGGGUGUACAGCAAUACACAAUAAAGCGCUAUAUAAAUGCAUCAUUCAUUCGUUCAAUGUGACUCGGGAAGAACGAGUCGUCUCUGGGAGUGAUUCAUUCAGUCACGCAUGCGCAACAUCCUAUAGGCACUGAAAUAGUUCACCUGUUUCGAGUCUUCGGGUUUUUCGAGUCGUUCGUUCAUCACGUGACAGCCUCAUACGCAUAACCUAUGCAGUCUGAGCCGGAAAGAGAAUUGAUUAGUUCAGCUCUCGAUUCUUCGGGUUUGAGUCGUUCGUUCAUCAUGUGACAGCCCCAUAAACCUAUGCAGUCUGAGGGAAAAAGACUUAAUAAUAAUAAUAACCAACCCUUUAGUUUAUUACCUUUGUUACCACAUUCAGCGUUAUGGAAAAGAACCAUCAUGACAGAAAUUCACACAUUUAUAAACUGUAAGAAAUAAAAAGCUACAAUUUGAGACCAGAAACGAUCAACAUUUGCAUAAGUAGUAGAUGUGUUUGGGAAGUAGCACAUAAUAUUUUAAUUAUGUUGCUAAAAUGAACGAAAUGACUUGAAAAAAGAUUAGUUCAUUUUGCUGAACGAGACUCAAAUGAUCAGUUAAUGAUCCGAACUUCCCAUCACUAGUGUGCAGCGAAGCCAGUAUUUGUAUCUGUAUUUGUAUCUGUUACGAUCACAAAAUUAUUCGUAUCUGUAUUUGGAUGAAACCGGAAGUAGGCGGAGCUUGAACCAGAACUUCGUACAGAUAUACUUAUAGCCGUUAUUAUGUUCAUGGUAUUACAGCCUAUCUUUUUUCGUAGUUAUCACUGAACAAAUAUGCUGUGUUUAACUAAGAUAAUAAUUUUUUUAUGAAAAAUCUUCUAACAGUCGGAGCCAAUACCCUUGUAUUGUAUAGGCAGUGCUUUGAGAUGCAGUGCGGUUGUGCUUCGGGCAACAAAGUUGGAGACCCACAGCUUGGGGACAUUUCGUGAUCCGAUAAAUAAAUAUUUAAAUAUCUUCUAAUUAAAACAGUAAGGGUUCCUAUGCAGUUUAGAAAUAUGGAAAUUGAUUUAAGGAAUUUCCAGGAAAUGCAUGGAAGGCAACUGCAACACUGCUAUUUUAUUUGCGCUUAUUUCAUUAGUAGGCCUAUUUUAAACUCAUUUACUUCACACACUUCUUACUGCUUUGUAAUUUUAGAGGUUUAUGUAAAACAACAUGAUUUCCUUUGGCUCACCGGCUCCUGCGCAGUUUUAAAAGUAUUUUACUUGCAGGUCUGUAUUUGCAGGUCUGGAAAAGUUGGCUAUGGAAAAAAAGGGAACAGAGUAUGGGAAAAUAUUAGUUUCGACUAUUUGCCCGAUUGGGUGUUCUAAAAUAUAAAAUUAAAAAUUUCUAAAAAUAAAUUUCAUACACUCUUAGGAAAAAUGGUUCUAAACAGUACCAGAAAAGGGUUCUUCAGCUUGUAACAAUAGCAGAACCCUUUUUGGUGCUAAAUAGAACCCUUUUUAUAGGGUUCCAUAAAGAACCAUGCUUUGAAAAUGCUAUAUAGGACCUUAAUGGUCUUUUUAAUGAUAGUUUAUUUUCAUUAAUAUUAGUAUAUUAGUGUGUUUAUAUCUUUAAUAGUAUUAUUAAUAUUAUUUGUAUAUAUGAUUUAUUAAUAUAGUUUUUUACCACUCUAUCUGCCUGGUGUUAUAUUAUCUUGUAGCCUCUAUUAGGGUUUUUACAUAAUAAAACAACAACAAUAGCAUGUCAAUUAGGUACUUUUAUUUAUUGAUUUUUAAUGAUAUGCGAAAUUGUAACAAAAAUACAAUUUGUAUUUAAAUUUAAGAAUGAAAUCAUUUACCUGUUGAGAGUGUGUUGACGGUCUGUGUAGCUGUAUCACUGAACUCCAGAAAAUCAGUAAUGAGUAGAGCUGGGAAUCGAUUCCAUCAAGAGGAAUCGACUCCUCAUUCAGAGCUUUUUUCAGUUCAACAAAGCUUAUCUAUGGGUGCCUCUCAAAUGGAAGGCUGCAUCCUACGAAGGCUGCACACAUUUAAAUUCACAAAAAUAAACUGAAAGAAAACGAGUCGGUACUGAGAUCAUCAGAAUUUGAGGAUGCAGCCUUCCAUUUGAGAAGCACCAUUCGCCUCCCUCAUGCUCGAUAAAAGCCGUAAUUACAGUUGUGAGUUGUUUUUAUAUAUAAAAGAUCUAUUUCAUUUUUAUGUAUUACCCUUCACCUCAUGCUCGCUAAAAGUUAUUAGAAGUCUGAUUCGUUUCCACGAAAAGUUUCUUUUGGAUAGUUUUAAUGAACCAGUUAAAAAAAUUUUGAGCGCUGCACGACAGAAUAGAUCAUGACGUGAUUGAGGAUCUUAUUUCCAUCUAAAAUACUAUUUUUUUAUUUCUAUCAGCCAAUGAUAAUUCUAAAAGAAAACAUCACGAGCAUAGAUCAGUGGCCAAGAGCGCAUCUGAUUGACAAAUAAACCAUGAGCUCUAUCAGUGUUCUUGUUAAUGUUCUGGUUAUUUUGUUUCAAUGCACAGUUUGUUAAUUUUAUCCUAAGCAUACAGUCAAAGUAAACUUCAUCAUUCAGCUGAACUGUGCAUAUUUAUUUUAGACAUUUCAUGUCUUUUUCAAUUCAUGUGAUAUGCAUGUCCCUGCUGAGCAGUGAGCUAUGACUAAUUUCACGGGCAAAGCAGACAAAAUUACUAUUUAAAAAUCAAUCAUAGCUAUAGAAAUUUAUUGUCAUUUUUUACAAAUAAAGCUUCAUAUUAUGAGAAGGAUACUUUCUACGACCUUUAUAUCCCGCAGUCAUGGCGAGAUUAGGUUCCUUCGAUCUAAAAAAACAAGAAUCGAAAAAGAAACGAAAACAACAGAGCAAUUGAUUCUCGGAAUCGACUCCCAUCGAUUCCAGAACCAGGAAUCGGAAUCAGACUCGAUUACAAAAAUUUUGAAUCUUACAGCCCUAGUAAUGAGGUACUUUGACAGUUACAGAUUUGAAAAACAAAAGGGCGGGAAUAAAGAACGCUAAACUUUAACACAAAGAACCAUUUCAGCAUUAAAGGGUUCUUAAGGAUGCUAUGGUUCUAAAUAUAACCGUUACUUCAUGUAAAGAACCUUUAAAGAACCAUCUUUUUUAGAGUGUGCAAGUGGAGAGAUUUCAUGAGAAAAUUUCAUUUAGUAAUCAUUUGAACACAACUGAAUUAAUUCAAGGCACACAUUUUCAUUAUACACUGUUAUCUCUGAAAUUGUUUUAACCUAAAUUAAUUAAGUACAUUAAACAUAAACAUUAAAAAAAAAUUAUGUAGUACUCAGGUUUUUGAGUUAGGUGUACCAUUUACACAAGUUUUCUCAUUCUAUUGAAUUUUUUAAGUUGAAUCAACUUAACUAAGCUUAUUUGAGUCCAUUGUCAAUGGCAACGUAUAGUGGAAUGCAGCACAAAGAAGCUGAUUGGGCUGAGCUGGCUGUUUGAACUGACGUCAUGCAGGCAGUGUCUGCACGGAUGUAGCACGCGCAUUUCUGUCAACGUUUGCUGAGUGAUGUAACCCCUUCACUUCCAUUUUAUCAAUCACCAAGGACCAUGGAUUCAAUCACCUACAUCUUCAAUGGCCUUAGGAUCUCUGACCUCGCUGACAUGAAGUGUGUUACCAUAAGUGGGAUUCCUGUAACACCGAUCACCCUUAUUUGAAGAAUUUCAUGAAGUUCAAAGCGUGCUUUGCUUCUGAUGAUGAGGACUCACACCAAAAUGUUCCAGCUGGAUUCCUCAGCCUAGAAAGCUAUGAUGUGGCACAGCAUCCCCUGUCUUUCCACCUCCAUCUAGCCCAUGUAAGGGAGACCAGGACACCUAAAUGAGCCCAGAGAUAGAUCCCCAGUGAAGACCUCAUCACCUAGACGGCCAUCGGGACAAAACCACGGGAACCAGAUGAGUCCUCUACACAAUCUGACUUUUCUGCAGUUGGAACUGAACUGCUUGGUUCGUCUGGCCGGAGGAGAACUGGUCCCCUGACUGAGUCUGGUUCUCCCAAGGUUUUUUCUCCAUUCUGUCACUGAUGGAGUUUUGGUUCCUUGCCGCUGUCAUCUCUUAAUUUCCAGCGAAAUCGUUGACUUGAUUGCACAGAUACUAUUUAAACUGAACUGAGCUGGAUGAGGACAUCACUGAAUUCAAUAAUGAAAUGCCUUUAACUGAAAAUUGAGUGUUUACUAUUGUCCUUCUGCAUUAUAGACACACUAUUUUCCUAUUUGAUACUGUAAAGUUGCUUUGACACAAUCUGUAUUGUUAAAAGCGCUGUAUAAAUAAAGGUGACUUGACUUGACUGUAAGGAAUCAUCUCGGAGGGGAAUCUUGGGAUGGACGAUUUAGAGAACCUCCCUCAGGCCAUUUGUUCUUCUUUUUGGAUUGACUUAUGCCUUGCAUCUUUGUGCAUGACCAAUAUAUUGCAGACAUUUUAUCUUUGUUUUAUUAAACUCAACAUACCUAAAGUUACCUAAGAUUUGUUGAAUGGAUUUUGGAAAAUAAAUUUAAAUAAACUGAAUUUAAUCCUUGUA